rnacentral:rRNA from 1 species
ACGGAGGGUGCGAGCGUUAUUCGGAAUUACUGGGCGUAAAGCGCGUGUAGGCGGUCCCGCAAGUCUGAUGUGAAAGCCCCGGGCUUAACCCGGGAAGUGCAUUGGAAACUGUGGGACUUGAGUACUGGAGAGGAUGGGGGAAUUCCCGGUGUAGAGGUGAAAUUCGUAGAGAUCGGGAGGAAUGGCAGCGGCGAAGGCGCCCAUCUGGACGGUAACUGACGCUGAGACGCGAAAGAGUUGGGAGCGAGCAG